UUCUACAUUGCAUCCUGUGAUGGGGACAAGGGAGGCUGGAUAUUGGCAAAGAAAUGCUUUGAUAAACAUGAAGCAAUGAUGACAAUACUGGGAGAUCAAUGAUCAUGUGGUCAAGCUGAGGUGACAUCAUUUAACCAUUUUUAGGUUCAUAGGAAGUUAAUAAGUAAUGGAUACUAAAUUUAGGAAUGACGUGUUAAGUGAGAAAGUAAUGUUAGUACACAAUUGUUGUAGUAGAAAUUCCGGGGGAAAUAAAGAUUUAUUCAAAGUAUUGUAUUUUUCUAAAAAUACUUUACAAAGUUUAGACAUUUUGCAAAAUUGUAUUUAUUCAAAGUGACUUUUAAUAUAACUCUGCCUAAUCAGGGUAACACCACUGGCAAUGGAAUUGAGCAGUGAUGACAGUGAUGCAGCCUGGACAGUGGCGGAAAUUCACUUUUACUGGUUGGGGGGACAAGCCUCCAAAAUUUCAGACAAAACAUACAAAUUUCCGACAAACUCCUCUAUUUGCACUCGAAAAGGCUGUUUUUAGCCCUCUUUUAGGUCAAAAUUUUUUAAUUUGUCAUUUUCCGUGAAGGUGGGGGGGGGGGCGGUCGCCCCCCCUGCCCCACCAAGAUUUCCGCCACUGAGCCUGGAUUUCUAAUCAAAGGGGACCAAAAAAUCCGAGGAGGGCCUGUGCUAGUUUGAAUAAAGUUUGUUUAGACAUUUUAGUAUUAUGUGAAAAUGUAGUUGGCCUCCCGCAAACCAUGU
rnacentral:lncRNA from 1 species